rnacentral:rRNA from 1 species
AUUGAACGCUGGCGGAAUGCUUAACACAUGCAAGUCGAGCGGGCUGUAGCAAUACAGCUAGCGGCGGACGGGUGAGGAAUACAUAGGAAUCUGCCUCAGAGUGGGGGAUAGCCCGGGGAAACCCGGAUUAAUACCGCAUGAUGUCGUAAGACCAAAGCAGGGGACCGUAAGGCCUUGCGCUUUGAGAUGAGCCUAUGUCGGAUUAGCUAGUUGGCGGGGUAAAAGCCCACCAAGGCGACGAUCCGUAGCUGGUCUGAGAGGACGAUCAGCCACACCGGAACUGAGACACGGUCCGGACUCCUACGGGAGGCAGCAGUGGGGAAUAUUGGACAAUGGGCGCAAGCCUGAUCCAGCAAUUCCGCGUGUGUGAAGAAGGCCUCGGUUGUAAGUAC